rnacentral:rRNA from 1 species
GAUGCGAGUUACUCUNUGUAGUAUUGCUUGUACAUACUUUUACGUUUAUUUGCAAGAUGUUGUCGGCGUGCACUUCUCCCCUAGUAGAACGUCGCGACCCGUUGGGUGUUGGUCUACGACCCGAGUGGGAGACUUUGAUAUUUUNACAAUAUUAAAGACCCUUGGUGUUUUCUGACCGGCUGCCC